rnacentral:rRNA from 1 species
GACUUCUGGUUUAAUGCACCUGGCCCGCGGCCCACAAGGCCUGUGAGUGCCGGCGCGCGUUUAGCAACGGCUACCCUUAACUGGGCGGCUGGAACUGGAUCUUUUACUUUGAAAAAAUUAGAGUGUUUAAAGCAGGCGUUUGCUCUGAAUACAUUAGCAUGGAAUAAUAAUCUAGGACUUCGGUUUAAUGAUUGAUAGGGAUAGUUGGGGGUGCUAGUAUUGGCCGGUCAGAGGUGAAAUUCUUGGAUUCGGUCAAGACUAACUUAUGCGAAAGCAUU